rnacentral:rRNA from 1 species
AACGAACGCUGGCGGCAGGCCUAACACAUGCAAGUCGAGCGAAGCCUUCGGGCUUAGCGGCGGACGGGUGAGUAACGCGUGGGAACGUGCCCUUUGGUACGGAAUAGCCCCGGGAAACUGGGAGUAAUACCGUAUGUGGUCGAGAGACGAAAGAUUUAUCGCCAAAGGACCGGCCCGCGUUGGAUUAGGUAGUUGGUGGGGUAAUGGCCUACCAAGCCGACGAGCCAUAGCUGGUUUGAGAGGAUGAUCAGCCACACUGGGACUGAGACACGGCCCAGACUCCUACGGGAGGCAGCAGUGGGGAAUCCUAGACAAUGGGGGAAACCCUGAUCUAGCCAUGCCGCGUGAUCGAUGAAGGCCUUAGGGUUGUAAAGAUCUUUCAGUGGGGAAGAUAAUGACUGUACCCACAGAAGAAGCCCCGGCUAACUCCGUGCCAGCCGCCGCCGUAAAAC